CAGGUUGAAGUCAGGGGAAACUCUGAUGGAGGACCGUACGGGUUAUUGAUGUGCAAAUCAUUUUUCUGAUGUAGGUAAAGGUGCGAAAGACUCAUCGAACCACCUAAUAGCUGGUUUCCUCCGAAGUUUCCCUCAGGAUAGCUGUAAUGCAUUUAGUUAAGGGGAGUAGAGAUAUGGGUAGAGGUGCAGGGAGCCUUCGGGUUCUCAACUUAUUUCCAAACUUCGAACCUCCUUGUUAGGCAUUUACCUAACUGGAAAUGCUUAAAUGAAUUAGCGUUACAAGUGGGCUCUGACCGGUAAGCGGUCAUGGCGAAAUGGGAUGAACCAUACGUCUGAAUAAGGUGCCGAAAUGUACUAUCACUGAUACCAUAAAGGGAGUCCAUGUAUUUAGACAGCAGGUCGGUGCCCCUAAAAGCAGGUAUCCGCUAAAGAGUGUGUUAAAACUCACCUGCCGAAUACUAGGGCCCCGAAAAUGAAUGGCGCAUAUAGUACUACCGAUCUCAGACAUCAGUUCUAUUGAACUGAGAGUAGGGGGAUGUGGACAUUUUUGUGAAGGUGCAAUGUGAGUUGGACUGGAAGAAUGUCUAUUACAGAUCCUAAUUGAAGUAGCGAUUAUCCAGGCUUGUAUCCUGGGGGCUGAUGAGGAGUAGGGUUUCUGGACAACUUAAACAGAUCCAGAGUUAGUCGAUCCUAAUCUCAAUAAUGGGAGAAAGGGAGUACAGUUGAUAUUCUGUAACUGACAACAGUUCGCGGCAACGCAUACUAUUUUUCUCCGCCAAUCUUAUACCGUUGGUAGGGAUCUCUUUCCUACAUGACAGUACUAAUACCCAGGGAAACUGGUCAUCAGGCGAACUGCGGCGUUCUGCUGGCAAAACAUAGCUUCGGUUAUGUCAAUGGCUAUUGGAUUGGUCCAUGAAGCGAAAAAUAGUUUACUGUGUCACUCGUACCGAUAACCGCAUCAGGUCUUCUAGGUAAGUAGCCUAUGGGCCAUUGAGGCAUGAUAGUUCAGGAAUUCGGCCAAUUAGAC
rfam:Trichomonas vaginalis G3, whole genome shotgun sequence.